rnacentral:rRNA from 1 species
UACGUAGGGUGCGAGCGUUGUCCGGAAUUACUGGGCGUAAAGGGCUCGUAGGCGGCCAACUAAGUCAGACGUGAAAUCCCUCAGCUUAACUGGGGAACUGCGUCUGAUACUGGAUGGCUUGGAUUCGGGAGAGGAAUGCGGAAUUCCUGGUGUAGCGGUGAAAUGCGCAGAUAUCAGGAGGAACACCGGUGGCGAAGGCGGGUCUCGUGGGCCGAUACUGACGCUGAGGAGCGAAAGCGUGGGAGCGAACAGG